GGUGACGUGUCCGAGCGGCCGAAGGUGCAGCACUCGAAAUGCUGUGUAGUUAAUAGCUACCGAGGGUUCAAAUCCCUCCGUCACCGCCA
rnacentral:tRNA from 1 species